GAUCAUGGACAGAUUGUUACUUGAUAGCCAACCUGAUGAGUUGGUUAACCAGUUCAUCAGGCUGGGUGAGUUAGCAAUGAACAGAUUGUUGCUAGGUAACAAACCCGAAGAGUUGUGUAACCAGGAUAAUUUUUCUAUGUUAGAUUCAGUUUAUUUUCCAUUUUGUUAGAUUUUAUUUUAUUUUAUUUAAAGAUUUAAUUAGAAAUAAAAACCCUCCUUUCCUUAAUUUAUUCAAUACAAACUAAAUCAAGCGAGAGCAACAUUGUUCUACGUGACAGCUAAAUUGACAGCUACCGCUUGUAUGGCUGCUAAUCGGCACCCUAGGUAGGAGACCCUGUCGGACUCUGAUAUGCAGACGUGUGAACAUUUGACCAAACGUUGUAGCGAUCAUGGUUUGUCAAGAGGGAACUGGAAAUUUUGAUGGAAGAAAAGAUGUUUAAGGGAAAAGGGUGCAGAGCAGCAAUGAUGGAGCGAGCACUGCAAUGCUGACCACUGCAGACUCAUCCAUCCAGAACACGUUGAACUGCUCCAGCUUCAGUUAAGUCAACUAUGAAGUCGGAUUACACCCAUAACUUCAACUGAGAACUUCACUUCUGCACGUCAUGCCACAAAAAGCUUAAACUGAGUGUAAAUAUUACUACACCAGACAAUGUAUAUCCUGGUGUUUACUCUUGACUCCUGCUUUCUCUUAAAAUAAACAUUACUACUUAAAGAGUGUGUCACCACACCAAAGAGAAGAGAGA